UUAUGGCGUUGUUCGAUCAAUGUAGCCGACCCCACCUAGUGAGACUAAAGCUUGGUUGUUGUUGUAGUUAGCAUUUUGUAGUUUUCUAGAUUAUUUGAAUGCCUAUCCAUUACACAUGGUUCUGAUAUUCUAAACUCUUGGCAGUGAUAGAACUCCAGUGAAGGGGGGUGAAUCUCCUGCUCAGCAGAAGUCACCAAUAAACAAAGAAAUUCAUUCCAGCAAGAAGCCUCGUGAGUCUUAUGCUGUGGAUGUUAAAAAAACUGAUUUGAAGGAUCGCUCCCAUUCAAACUAUGCAAAAAAUAGUGAUCGGGGCCACAAACCGGAAGCCAGUCAAGAUAUAGAUGGGAAAGUUGAUCGUGUCAAUCAUGAUGGUUCAUAUGAUUCAGUUUCUGAGGAAAGUGAUAAGCAUAGAAAAUAUAGGAGAACUCAUAAAAGGUCAGAGAAAAAAAAUUAUGUCUUCAAACGAAGAUUAUAGUUCUGAUUCCGAGUUAGAAGACUGGAAAGAGACUAAGAGGAAGAAAAAGGAGGAUAAGAAGCAGAGGAAGGAGGAGAAGCGUCAAAGACGUGAAGAUAGACGGCGCAGAAGGGACAGACGGCGUGCAGAGAAGCUGAAAGUGAAGGGUAAAGCAGAUUAUACUUCUGAAGGCGAGGAUGCUGAACGAUUGGAUCGAAGUGAUAACGAAGUGACACUGUCUGUGCAAACAGAGCUCGAGAUUGAGUUGCGGAAUAAGGCUCUUGAAUCCCUCAAAGCAAAGAGGGGCGUGGACAACUAAACUAAAUACAACACUUUUGAGUUUCAAGUCAUUUUAUCUUAUAGAAACUUCUUGAGAAAUAUUUUGCUUAUUUAAGAAACUUUGUUUAAAGAUGUCUGUUUUUAUUUUUUUGGUAAAUCUUUGAUAUUGUUUAUCUUUAAUGCUGGCAGCGGAAAAAGAUUAAUGCCGAUUUCUGAGCAAAUCUGUUGAUUGCAACUAUAUGCAGACGUUGCUGUAUAUUUACUGAUGAAAUUUAUGUCAACUCUAGAUGACCUGGUUUUAGAAGAGCGUCUUAAGUAAUCUGUACAUAUGUAGUCGCUUACGUGUAUUUUUCAAAUCUGAGUA
rnacentral:lncRNA from 1 species